AGUGAACGCUGGCGGUAGGCCUAACACAUGCAAGUCGAACGGCAGCACAGUAAGAGCUUGCUCUUACGGGUGGCGAGUGGCGGACGGGUGAGGAAUACAUCGGAAUCUACUUUUUCGUGGGGGAUAACGUAGGGAAACUUACGCUAAUACCGCAUACGACCUACGGGUGAAAGCAGGGGAUCUUCGGACCUUGCGCGAUUGAAUGAGCCGAUGUCGGAUUAGCUAGUUGGCGGGGUAAAGGCCCACCAAGGCGACGAUCCGUAGCUGGUCUGAGAGGAUGAUCAGCCACACUGGAACUGAGACACGGUCCAGACUCCUACGGGAGGCAGCAGUGGGGAAUAUUGGACAAUGGGCGCAAGCCUGAUCCAGCCAUACCGCGUGGGUGAAGAAGGCCUUCGGGUUGUAAAGCCCUUUUGUUGGGAAAGAAAAGCAGCAGGUUAAUACCCCGCUGUCCUGACGGUACCCAAAGAAUAAGUACCGGCUAACUUCGUG
rnacentral:rRNA from 1 species